AAAUCAUGAUUUGGGCUCUUCUGCAAAUAAUCCUUGAAUCUCUCCCAUGCUUCAUAUAAUUAUUCCCCGAUUAAUUUCGCUUAAAUUCAUAGAUCUUGUCCCGAAUUU